UACGUAGGGUGCAAGCGUUAUCCGGAAUGAUUGGGCGUAAAGCGUUUUAAGGUGGUUUGGUAAGUCUACUGUUAAAUAUCAGGGCUUAACCCUGAACAGGCAGUGGAAACUAGCAAGCUUGAGUACGGUAGGGGCAAAGGGAAUUCCCGGUGUAGCGGUGAAAUGCGCAGAUAUCGGGAGGAACACCGGUGGCGAAGGCGGUUCUCUGGGCCUUACCUGACGCUGAGGAGCGAAAGCGUGGGGAGCGAACAGG
rnacentral:rRNA from 1 species